UACGGAGGGGGCUAGCGUUGUUCGGAAUUACUGGGCGUAAAGCGCGUGUAGGCUGCUUCGCAAGUCAGUGGUGAAAGCCCGGAGCUCAACUCCGGAACUGCCAUUGAAACUGUGGAACUUGAGGAUGAGAGAGGUGAGUGGAAUUCCCAGUGUAGAGGUGAAAUUCGUAGAUAUUGGGAAGAACACCGGUGGCGAAGGCGGCCUUCUGGACAGUGACUGACGCUGAGACACGAAAGCGUGGGGAGCAAACAGG
rnacentral:rRNA from 1 species